UUAUGAAGUGAGAGAGGGAAGGAGUUUCAUCAGGAUGAAACUGUGUAUACACUGUUUCCAAGACUAUGAAACCUAUUGAAACUUGCAUUGGGGGCUAUAGAGUUUCAUUUCAUCUAACCAUAUCCAAUCACAUGCCUCACAAUUAAAUGUCAUGGGCAUCCUAUGAAAUCGUGAAAUGAAACUGUGCACUGGGACUCCCUGUUUCAUUC
rnacentral:lncRNA from 1 species